CUCAGCUGACGAGUCCAAAAUAGGACGAAACGUGCGUCCUGGAU
rnacentral:hammerhead_ribozyme from 1 species